UGCUGUUUGACUGCUUAAAUGGGGCCGUGUGAAACGCCCACGGGAUCCUGGGCGAGGUGGCCCUUCCGGCUGCUGCUGCACCCAAACGCUGCGCUUCACGGGGAGCUUCGGAGCGAGUCCGCUCGGGGGGAACAGCGUUGCCUGCCGCAGCUGUGCCGGCACAGCCAGGCUUUGGCUGUUCUGUAGGCGCCCAGCCCCGCGUUGAAUCCUUUCCAGCCAUUUGCGUGAGUGUGGGGAACUCGGAGAGCUCCGUCCUCAUCUCCGUGGGAGACAGCAGAGCCUGUGAGGCAGGCGGCGGGGCUGUGCAGAGGAAGAAGCCCUGCAACCCGAGCGAGAGGCUUUUAAUUAACCCGAAAAGAUGAGAUCAACGCGAGUAUUACAACAGGUCAUCUGCUGCUGCCUGCACAGGAUAAGGUGCCCCUGCAAAGCAAAACCAGCGGCAGCUCCUCGAGCCUGACCUCUCCCCAGCACCUCCCUGGGCUCCGGUGAUGGGAAGGACACGUGCUGGUCUGCAGCAGCAGCGGGGCUGUGAGCUCUGUGACAGGAAGAUCCAGGAUAGAGCAGGAUGCGUGCCCGUGGCUGUCCGAAGGGCUGAUUGCCCCAUCCCGCGCUGGGUCCAGCACCUUCAGAGUGGCAGAGGAUGGAGCCCCGCCUCCCCUCUCCCUUCAGUACAAAACUAAGGACAACCAGCUCACCUCCGUCGGUGCCAAAAGGUGAGAGAAGGGAGGGGGUGGUGCCAGCAGUGCUCACUGCUCUGUGAACCCCGAGCUCUCUGCUGCAGGUCUGGGUGACCCAGGGGAGACCUGGGGGUGAGAGGAAGACGGGGAGCAUCUGCCGCCGAGCCCCUUGGAGAGCUGAGCAUGGCAGAGCUGAGGGAAGUUUUGCCAUUGCCAUUCACAUGGCACCUGUGGAUGCACUGCGCUGUGGGCCUUGCAGCUGCUGACACAUCCCAGCAUGACAUGAAAGUGUCCCGGGUUGGUGGUGUAAGGAAAGGAUCUGACAGCUUCGCAGGGCAUCACCAGGAGAUGCUUUGAUGUAGGCACAGAGGGGAGAUGUCUCGAAUGGUACCAGAUAACAGCUGC
rnacentral:lncRNA from 1 species